rnacentral:rRNA from 1 species
AAAUUCCGUCGGAAUCUGGGAGGACCAUCUCCUAAGGCUAAAUACUCUCUAGUGACCGAUAGUGAACCAGUACCGUGAGGGAAAGGUGAAAAGCACCCCGGAAGGGGAGUGAAAUAGAACCUGAAACCGUGUGCUUACAAGUAGUCAGAGCCCGUUAAUGGGUGAUGGCGUGCCUUUUGUAGAAUGAACCGGCGAGUUACGAUUUGAUGCAAGGUUAAGCAGUAAAUGUGGAGCCGUAGCGAAAGCGAGUCUGAAUAGGGCGUUUAGUAUUUGGUCGUAGACCCGAAACCAGGUGAUCUACCCUUGGUCAGGUUGAAGUUCAGGUAACACUGAAUGGAGGACCGAACCGACUUACGUUGAAAAGUGAGCGGAUGAACUGAGGGUAGCGGAGAAAUUCCAAUCGAACCUGGAGAUAGCUGGUUCUCUCCGAAAUAGCUUUAGGGCUAGCCUCAAGUGAUGAUUAUUGGAGGUAGAGCACUGUUUGGACGAGGGGCCCCUCUCGGGUUACCGAAUUCAGACAAACUCCGAAUGCCAAUUAAUUUAACUUGGGAGUCAGAACAUGGGUGAUAAGGUCCGUGUUCGAAAGGGAAACAGCCCAGACCACCAGCUAAGGUCCCAAAAUAUAUGUUAAGUGGAAAAGGAUGUGGCGUUGCCCAGACAACUAGGAUGUUGGCUUAGAAGCAGCCAUCAUUUAAAGAGUGCGUAAUAGCUCACUAGUCGAGUGACACUGCGCCGAAAAUGUACCGGGGCUAAACAUAUUACCGAAGCUGUGGAUUGUCCUUUGGACAAUGGUAGGAGAGCGUUCUAAGGGCGUUGAAGCAUGAUCGUAAGGACAUGUGGAGCGCUUAGAAGUGAGAAUGCCGGUGUGAGUAGCGAAAGACGGGUGAGAAUCCCGUCCACCGAUUGACUAAGGUUUCCAGAGGAAGGCUCGUCCGCUCUGGGUUAGUCGGGUCCUAAGCUGAGGCCGACAGGCGUAGGCGAUGGAUAACAGGUUGAUAUUCCUGUACCACCUAUAAUCGUUUUAAUCGAUGGGGGGACGCAGUAGGAUAGGCGAAGCGUGCGAUUGGAUUGCACGUCUAAGCAGUAAGGCUGAGUAUUAGGCAAAUCCGGUACUCGUUAAGGCUGAGCUGUGAUGGGGAGAAGACAUUGUGUCUUCGAGUCGUUGAUUUCACACUGCCGAGAAAAGCCUCUAGAUAGAAAAUAGGUGCCCGUACCGCAAACCGACACAGGUAGUCAAGAUGAGAAUUCUAAGGUGAGCGAGCGAACUCUCGUUAAGGAACUCGGCAAAAUGACCCCGUAACUUCGGGAGAAGGGGUGCUCUUUAGGGUUAACGCCCAGAAGAGCCGCAGUGAAUAGGCCCAAGCGACUGUUUAUCAAAAACACAGGUCUCUGCUAAACCGUAAGGUGAUGUAUAGGGGCUGACGCCUGCCCGGUGCUGGAAGGUUAAGAGGAGUGGUUAGCUUCUGCGAAGCUACGAAUCGAAGCCCCAGUAAACGGCGGCCGUAACUAUAACGGUCCUAAGGUAGCGAAAUUCCUUGUCGGGUAAGUUCCGACCCGCACGAAAGGCGUAACGAUUUGGGCACUGUCUCAACGAGAGACUCGGUGAAAUCAUAGUACCUGUGAAGAUGCAGGUUACCCGCGACAGGACGGAAAGACCCCGUGGAGCUUUACUGUAGCCUGAUAUUGAAAUUCGGCACAGCUUGUACAGGAUAGGUAGGAGCCUUUGAAACGUGAGCGCUAGCUUACGUGGAGGCGCUGGUGGGAUACUACCCUAGCUGUGUUGGCUUUCUAACCCGCACCACUUAUCGUGGUGGGAGACAGUGUCAGGCGGGCAGUUUGACUGGGGCGGUCGCCUCCUAAAAGGUAACGGAGGCGCUCAAAGGUUCCCUCAGAAUGGUUGGAAAUCAUUCAUAGAGUGUAAAGGCAUAAGGGAGCUUGACUGCGAGACCUACAAGUCGAG